UUCUGGAAGAGGGAGUGUGGUCAGUGUUCUCGGGAAGCUGGGAGAGGCCACAGGAAACAGGCCCUGAGAAGUCAAGGCCCACUGUGGCCCUGACCUGCUGGCCCCAUCAUCAGGUUUCUCUGGGAGAGAAAAAAAAGAAGCAGGUGGGUUUGUCCACAGCUGCUCAUUGACUUUUUCCCUCCCGGUUACUUUUAAAUCUGUUAAGCUGUGAGGCACUAGGCUGGACUUCCAACUUUAGUAGUUGGAAGAAGCACAUCGCACCUUAAAAUGUACAAAGCACUGUCCUUUGGGGUGCCUGAAGAGGGGCCUCCCUGCACGUAGGCAGCUCAGCACUUUGGAGGUCUCCAGUGUUAGCGCCACCAGGGCCCCGUGAGCCGUCAAGGGCCCCAUCUAGGGCAGCUAGUCAGUCUGUGUCCAAAGAGGAGCAGGAGGCAGGUCUUUCGGGUUUUGAGGGUUUUUUCUCCCCCCAGCCUUGAAUUUCUCUUUUAGGAGCCUUAGCAACAACCCAGUGGGGUUACCCAAGCAUGAUCUCCAUUUUGCAGAAGAGGAAUUGAGAGGUUUAGUGUUUCUAGUGUCCCAGGCAGGAUUUGAACCCAGUUCUUAACUGCCUCCGAGUCUGGGCCUCUCCAUAAAACCCUACUUCCUCCCCAAGCCUUGUAAUUUGCAGUGGCCUCCUCCUUGUGCCCACAGUAAUCAGGGGAGCCUUGCUUUCUAGCUCAGUGUCAAGGAUGUUGUGAGAGCCUUUAAACGGCGGCAAAAUGGUCCAGGUACUCCUGAAACAAUUGCUGCUUCUUUCCUUUCCUUUCUUCCCUGCCUACCUCUUUCCAGCAUUAGCAUCAUCAAAAAAUCAUUAUGAUUUAUUGAGAAGCAAUAUAGUGUGGUCCAAAGGGCUGUGGAUUUGAAGUGGAGAGAGCCCCUGGUUUUAACUCAUAUUGUUGCCAUGAGCUGUCAGCCAAAAAACUUUUAGUGAGCACCCACCAUGUGUCAGGCAUUGUGCGAAGUGCUGGGGGUACAAAGAAAGGCAAAAGGCCCUGCUCUCCAGAACUAACCAGUGAGGGAGACAAAGCACAAACGGUUAUGUACAAACAAGCUAUGUGCAGGAUAAGGAGGAAAUGAUGGAGAGAGGGAAGGCCCCGGAGUGAUGAGGGGGGAGGGAAGGUUUCUGGUAGAAGGUGGGCUUUGAGUUGGGGCUUAAAGGAAGCCGGGGAAGUGUGUAGGCCGAGAUGAGGAAGGAAGGCAUUCCAGCCAGAGAAAAUGCCUGGAGCUAUCCUGAGUGAAUUAUUUAGCCUCCAAGCCUCAGUUUCCUUAUCUGUAGAAUAGUGUUACCUAUACUAAUGGCCCUCUCAGGGUUUUUGUGCUGAUAAAAUAAGAUCUUGUAUGUGAAACACUUUGCAAACCUUCAAGUGUUACUAUUUAUUAUGCUUUUAGUGGUGAGGGAACCCCAGUGAGCAUUCUGAACAGAGCCCUGGCCCCGGCCCUGCCCUGUAGGAGGCAUUUCAGCCAGGACAGAUUCCUGGUAGGGAAACAGUGACCUUGGACCUUCAUCCCAGGGCAUUCUGGGUGCACUUAGACAGUGACCCAGAUUCCCCUGCCCCCCUUAGUAGAGGCUUCAGGAAUGACUGGCCACAAUGUCCUCAUUGAGUAGCUAAUGGUUUAGUGAUGAACCUUUCUGGGCUCAAGCCUAUCUGGGCCGGCCUUGAGCAGAUCCUCACCCCGUCUAGCUCUGGGUCUGUAUUCAAAGCCUUCUGUCCAGCCGAGUGGAACUGGCAAGGGCCUGGACUCUUACUGGCAUAGCCUUGGUUUGCCCUGGAUCUCUGCCCCACCAUGAUGAGACGUUGGAGAAGGACCGGGGGGAGCAUGAGAACAGGAAGACAGAAAUCACGGAAAUCAGGAAAGAGCUCCCAACAUCUGCAAGUCAGGAUAUGGUGCAGUGGAGAGCAAGGGCAGAUGUGCAGGCGGGUAGAGAUGCCCCCCCCCCCGGGGGAGCACAGCAGGGGGCUGCCCCCAAAAAGGCGAAGAGACCAAGGAAGGCAUCUGGGAGAGAAGGAAUGCCAGCAGCUGUUUGGUGGGUCCCAUUCACUCUCCUGGGGAAGAUGGACAAGUUAGUGAGCAGAACAAGACUGGGGAGGUCGGGGCCUAGAGACGGCCGCGUGGUGGUGUAUGGCGGGACGAGAUUGCCAGCAGUAGUCUGAGAAGGCACGUUUGGACUGGGCCGGGGUUCUCUGGAAGCCCAGCGUCGGCCUCAGCCUAGGGACACGUGAUUCUGGGCUGAUUGCUAGAAGCUGAAGCCUGGGAGCAGGCAGCAGCUCUCCUGCAUAGAAGCCUUUGAAGACCUGCUGCAGUCUCCCCAGGUACAUAGCCUGACUCACCUGCCUUUUGGCUCUGUCUCCCCACAGCAUGCUGACAUCUCACCCCCUCCAUUCGGCUAAAUAAUUGUCACCAAUAAACCUGCCUUCGUGGCCUCUGGGACUAG